rnacentral:snRNA from 1 species
AUCACGCCUUCAGUUGGAACAG